rnacentral:rRNA from 1 species
UGGGGAAUAUUGCACAAUGGGGGAAACCCUGAUGCAGCGACGCCGCGUGGAGGAAGAAGGUCUUCGGAUUGUAAACUCCUGUCCCAGGGGACGAUAAUGACGGUACCCUGGGAGGAAGCACCGGCUAACUACGUGCCAGCAGCCGCGGUAAAACGUAGGGUGCAAGCGUUGUCCGGAAUUACUGGGUGUAAAGGGAGCGCAGGCGGAUUGGCAAGUUGGGAGUGAAAUCUAUGGGCUCAACCCAUAAAUUGCUUUCAAAACUGUCAGUCUUGAGUGGUGUAGAGGUAGGCGGAAUUCCCGGUGUAGCGGUGGAAUGCGUAGAUAUCGGGAGGAACACCAGUGGCGAAGGCGGCCUACUGGGCACUAACUGACGCUGAGGCUCGAAAGCAUGGGUAGCAAACAGGA